UACUCUCACACUCCCGAUCGUUUGGAUUGGGAGCGGUGGAUUUGGGUGUUGCCGCUUUACUGAGGCUCACCUUGAAUGCAUUAGUGCAACUCUUGGUUGGACAUAGUACGGCGUGAUAAGUGUCUUCGCCGGCACCUCGCAAGAGGGUGGCUGAUUGAGAGCUCUGUGCUUUCAAACCGUCCUUGGACAAUGACUGACA
rnacentral:misc_RNA from 1 species